AGUAUAAUGCCAGAUUAUGCAAAGAGGUUAUCUAAAGCAACUGACGCCCUCUGUUUACUUCCGCUGGAUGUUACACUGUUAUAUUCCAACAGUAGAAUUUAAGGAGUGGCUCUUGAGGUUCCGCAUAUAAUUGUCAGAUCUUUAACUAAUUAUCCCAGUGCUAUUUUAAGCUUUUAAAGAUAUCUUUUCUAUUUCUUGCACACAAGUGUAGGAACUGCUGUGUUGGAAGACAUUUUCCCAGUCGCUAAUUUCUUAACCUGUGAGUUAAAGGCGCUUAAAGGUGUCUCCAUUCGAAAGACUAAUUACCAUGUAUUUCACAAAGAAAUGUAAUAUCUUAUGUUGUACAUUCAUUUCACAGCCAUGUUGCUUGCAAAAUGCGUGAAGAUGACAUCAUAAAUGAACAUCCACCAGUAGAGAAGGUUUCUCAACUUCAACAUCAGUGUUCACGAUCCACUCAUAUUAACUCAGAGCUGCUGGUCAGUGAGAACUUCCUCGUCCUUAUGAACAUGAUGCUGUGGUAGAUCUGGAAGGAGAGAAAACAACAGAAAUAAGAUGCUGCUAUGAUGAUAAGGGGGAAAAGUGUGUCUGCAAGUAAGUGGGAGGAGUGGGAUAUCUGCACAGAGCCAUUUCCGAAUCACGAUCAAAAUUCCUUUAUUGGUCAAGCAAACAGGGAAAUGUCCAUGUCACAGUAGCCAAAGGGCAGUUCAUUUUAACAAUAAACAAUUAUAAGAGUAAAAAAUAAACAAUAAAAAGGUGUGGAACAGAGAUAGACCUGUGUAUACAUAAUAUAUACAAUAUAAACACUGUGGCAAUUUGUCACUGAUAAAUUAUGUGUAUAACUAAAAUAAGAAAUGAGUUGUAUGUCGAGUUUCUGUUGCACAGUGCACAAGUGCGGUCUAUUGGAAGCAGUGCUGGUAACAGAGUCUGACAACAGCAGGAGGGAAGGACCUGCGACACCUGAAGAAGCUUCCCAGUGCUGUGAUGGUGUCACACUGAGUCAACAGGGCACUCCAGGGUGGAGCUGGCCUUCUUGAUAAGUUUAUCAAAAGUUAAAAGGAGAUUUUCUUCCUACACCCGGGGUAUUAUAAAUGACCAUUGAAUGAACCAUUGAGCCUUUGUGUGCUUUUGUACAUAUUCCAUCCAUAAGGAAAUUUAGCAAAACAAUACGUAGAAUUACUGUGUUAUUACAA